CAUGGGGAGCUUACGGAACGACAUAAAGAGGUCACUGGCGUCACUAAAGGUGCUCCGACCUUGAAGAACAUAGUUUCUUUUUCAUUUUAAGGUUUUCGGUGAACGUUUUGUCUGGUUUUGUCAACAAGAAAUGUCAUAUUAUUUACGGAAUCAUACGGGAUGUUGGGUUAUGGGGUUAAAAACAAACGUAAAAUUUAUUUUAACAAAGUAAUAGAUACUUACGACACAGUCUUACGAUACAUGUAAAAAAUACUAGAAAAUUCCAGGCUAAAGAGGUCAACAAACUGCAGGUUAAACGAAAUAGUUUAAUUUUCGCUGUGUGCGUGUUUGAGCGGUCCAAGAUUUAUUUUUAAAUUUUAGUGUGUAAAAAAUUCUAACUCUAAUAAAAACUGAGACGAGGUAAUCAAGAGGAAAGUCUUUGCAGGGGUGGUGGAAUGGUAUUUUUGUAUGGUUCGUUUUUUAGUCGCAAACCAGUUAACGAAUACAGUGCAUAAAUUGGGUAAAACUCACAAAAUAUAUUACCCACUACCGGAGUAUAAACUGCAAAUGUUUAGGUGGCAUCAUUAAAUCGCCAAAAAUCACAUCUUCAUUGAAAACUUUAAAAUGUCACACAAUUAAAACAGGAUGUACCACUUCGUAAGAAUGUGCAAAGUUCACACAAACUUCGCAGAAGUGGUGGUGUAAGAAUGUGAGUUUCCGGUAACUCACAUCACUUAAUGAUUGUUGAAGAGGCCGGAAUACAGGGAAGAUGUGUUGUGGAAGUUUGUUUAAAAGAACACCUUAGCAAAUUUUUCAUUUCAAAUAAAAUAGUGUUUCACAGUUGGUUCUUGCACUUGUAUCGAAAUAAUCUGUAGUAAAUAGUUUCCGAAACGUUCUUUGGAAUUCUAUUGGUGUGGGAUUUAUACAAUUCCCAAAUUGACGCCUCACAGAGCCAAACAAAUAUGUCAAACAAUACUGAUUUAGUUGCAGCAACCUUUUAGUGAAAAUUGUAAACAAAUUGUAUUCUGUGAAAACUAUUAAAAAUAAUAAGCAAAAUGUUUAUGUUCCUGAA